rnacentral:rRNA from 1 species
GACGAACACUGGCGGCGUGCUUAACACAUGCAAGUCGAACGGAAAGGCCCUGCUUUUGUGGGGUGCUCGAGUGGCGAACGGGUGAGUAACACGUGAGUAACCUGCCCUUGACUUUGGGAUAACUUCAGGAAACUGGGGCUAAUACCGGAUAGGAGCUCCUGCUGCAUGGUGGGGGUUGGAAAGUUUCGGCGGUUGGGGAUGGACUCGCGGCUUAUCAGCUUGUUGGUGGGGUAGUGGCUUACCAAGGCUUUGACGGGUAGCCGGCCUGAGAGGGUGACCGGCCACAUUGGGGCUGAGAUACGGCCCAGACUCCUACGGGAGGCAGCAGUGGGGAAUAUUGCACAAUGGGCGGAAGCCUGAUGCAGCAACGCCGCGUGCGGGAUGACGGCCUUCGGGUUGUAAACCGCUUUCGCCUGUGACGAAGCGUGAGUGACGGUAAUGGGUAAAGAAGCACCGGCUAACUACGUG